AAGUCCCGCAACGAGCGCAACCCCUGUCCUAUGUUGCCAGCAUUUAGUUGGGGACUCAUAGGAGACUGCCGGUGAUAAACCGGAGGAAGGUGGGGACGACGUCAAGUCAUCAUGCCCCUUAUGUCCAGGGCUGCACGCAUGCUACAAUGGCAAGUACAACGAGUCGCAAUACCGCGAGGUGGAGCAAAUCUCUUAAAGCUUGUCUCAGUUCGGAUAGGAGUCUGCAACUCGACUCCUUGAAGUUGGAGUCGCUAGUAAUCGCAAAUCAGCAAAGUUGCGGUGAAUACGUUCUCGGGGUUU
rnacentral:rRNA from 1 species